rnacentral:rRNA from 1 species
CGUAGGGGGCAAGCGUUAUCCGGAAUUAUUGGGCGUAAAGAGUGCGUAGGUGGUUUUGUAAGCGCGAGGUGAAAGGCUAUGGCUCUACCAUAGUAAGCCUUGCGAACUGUAAGACUUGAGUGCAGGAGAGGAAAGUGGAAUUCCUAGUGUAGCGGUGAAAUGCGUAGAUAUUAGGAGGAACACCUGUGGCGAAGGCGACUUUCUGGACUGUAACUGACACUGAGGCACGAAAGCGUGGGGAGCAAACAGGAUUAGAUACCCUGGUAGUCCACGCCGUAAACGAUGAGCACUAGGUGUCGGGGUCGCAAGGCUUCGGUGCCGCAGUUAACGCAUUAAGUGCUCCGCCUGGGGAGUACGCACGCAAGUGUG